AGGGAAGGAAGAUGGCCACGUACCCAUGCCCAGCUUCCAGGCGGACGGGGGACAAGCCCUCUGACAGUUCCACAGACAGCAGGAGACUCAGGGUGGUGGCCUUCAGCAUUCUGAAAGUGGCAAGCGGAGUGAGAAAGAACUCUGAAUGGCAGAAUUCCCAACCGUGGGAAAUGUGACUAAGAUGACACGAAGGCUUGGAAACCUGUAGGACCUGAUGAACUUUUCUCAAGUGACAAAGGCAAACCCACAAGACUCUUACUAUCGCCUGCAUGUUCUAAAACAGACGAAAUGGACUAGUUACGGCAAAUGUUACAGUGAACAUCUACGAGACCCUCCCUGUUACAUCUGCAAGACUGUCAUGAGCACUUGGCAAUGUUAAUCUAGCCCAAAUAGUCUGAAUCUGUAGGACACAGCAAAGUCACCAGAGAGAGGGGACAUUCUUCCGAAGUAGGACCAGUCAACACAUUUCUCUUCAGUCCUGUUCUCCUAGCUUGGCUCUGCUUCUGGGCUUCCAAGAAGCCUUCUCCUGAGAUUAGUCAACCAUUUGGGUCACCGUGAUACCAGAACAGGGCUGCUCUGGACCAAAGACAGGUAUAAACCGGGCACUAUGAAGUAGCCGGUGCUGGUAGCCAACUCAAAGUCAAACAGUAAACCACUGGGGGA